rnacentral:rRNA from 1 species
GGAGGAAAGGGGGCCCGCAAAAAUUUGACAACUCGGAGCGCAGGAAGCUCCGGAACUCUUCGGGAGGGAAGUGAAGGAAAAAGGGGGGGCGGACGGGUGAGUAACACGUAAGGAACCUUCCUUCCAAGGGAUUGGGAUAACUCCGAGAAAUCGGAGCUAAUACCGAAUAGUUCUUCAGACCGCAUGGUCUGAUGAUGAAAGGCGCUCCGGCGUCACCUUGGGAUGGCCUUGCGGUGCAUUAGCUAGUUGGUGGGGUAAUGGCCCACCAAGGCGACGAUGCAUAGCCGACCUGAGAGGGUGAUCGGCCACACUGGGACUGAGACACGGCCCAGACUCCUACGGGAGGCAGCAGUAGGGAAUCUUCCACAAUGGACGAAAGUCUGAUGGAGCAACGCCGCGUGAGUGAUGAAGGUUUUCGGAUCGUAAAACUCUGUUGUAAGGGAAGAACAAGUACGAGAGGUAAUGCUCGUACCUUGACGGUACCUUGCGAGAAAGCCACGGCUAACUACGUGCCAGCAGCCGCGGUAAUACGUAGGUGGCAAGCGUUGUCCGGAAUUAUUGGGCGUAAAGCGCGCGCAGGCGGCCUUUUAAGUCUGAUGUGAAAGCCCCCGGCUCAACCGGGGAGGGUCAUUGGAAACUGGAAGGCUUGAGUACAGAAGAGAAGAGUGGAAUUCCAUGUGUAGCGGUGAAAUGCGUAGAGAUGUGGAGGAACACCAGUGGCGAAGGCGACUCUUUGGUCUGUAACUGACGCUGAGGCGCGAAAGCGUGGGGAGCAAACAGGAUUAGAUACCCUGGUAGUCCACGCCGUAAACGAUGAGUGCUAGGUGUUGGGGGGGUUUCCGGCCCCUCAGUGCUGAAGCUAACGCAUUAAGCACUCCGGCCUGGGGGAGUACGGGCCGCAAGGCUGAAACUCAAGGGAAUUGGACGGGGGACCCUGCACCAGGCGGUGGAUCAUGGUGGGUUUAUUUCGCAAACCAACGUGAAAGAAACCUUAUCCAACUUCUUGACAUCCCCUUUGACCGCCUUUGAGAGAUCAAGUUGUCCCUUCAGGGACCAAGGGGUGGACCAGGUGGGUUGCCAUGGGCUGUUCCCUCAGCUCUCGUUGUUCGGUGAGAAAUGUAGUGGGUUAAUAUACUG